rnacentral:rRNA from 1 species
CAGCCGUAAACAAUGUGCGUUAGGUGUGUCGGUAACCACGCGUUACUGAUGCGCCGAAGAGAAAUCGUGAAACGCACCACCUGGGAAGUACGGUCGCAAGGCUGAAACUUAAAGGAAUUGGCGGGGGAGCACCACAACAGGUGGAGCCUGCGGUUUAAUUGGAUUCAACGCCGGACAUCUCACCGGAUAAGACAGCAAUAUGUAGGUCAAGCUAAAGACUUUACCAGAAUCGCUGAGAGGUGGUGCAUGGCGUAGUCGUGU